UACGAAGGGGCUAGCGUUGCUCGGAAUCACUGGGCGUAAAGGGUGCGUAGGCGGGUCUUUAAGUCAGGGGUGAAUCCUGGAGCUCAACUCCAGAACUGCCUUGAUACUGAAGAUCUUGAGUUCGGGAGAGGUGAGUGGAACUGCGAGUGUAGAGGUGAAAUUCGUAGAUAUUCGCAAGAACACCAGUGGCGAAGGCGGCUCACUGGCCCGAUACUGACGCUGAUGCACGAAAGCGUGGGAGCAAACAGG
rnacentral:rRNA from 1 species